GCCAGCGUGGCAUAGUGGUUUGGGCAUUGGAGACUACGGCUCUGAGACCAGGGUUCGAAUCCCAGCUCAGCCA